UCUGGUUGAUCCUGCCAGUAGUCAUAUGCUUGUCUCAAAGAUUAAGCCAUGCAUGUCUAAGUAUAAAUAGUAUACAGUGAAACUGCGAAUGGCUCAUUAAAACAGUUAUAGUUUAUUUGAUAAUUGACAAUUACAUGGAUAACCGUGGUAAUUCUAGAGCUAAUACAUGCUUAAACGCCCGACUUUAUGGAAGGGUGGUAUUUAUUAGACUGAAGCCAAUAUUCCUUGUGUCUAUUGCGGUGAUUCAUAAUAACUGAUCGAAUCUCUUUUUGAGAUAAAUCAUUCAAGUUUCUGCCCUAUCAGCUUUCGAUGGUAGUGUAUUGGACUACCAUGGCAGUAACGGGUAACGAAGAAUUAGGGUUCGAUUUCGGAGAGGGAGCAUGAGAAACGGCUACCACAUCUAAGGAAGGCAGCAGGCGCGUAAAUUACCCAAUCCUGACUCAGGGAGGUAGUGACAAGAAAUAGCAAACCGGGAACCUCAUGGUUUCACGGUAUUGCAAUGAGAACAAUUUAAAACCCUUAGCGAGAAUCAAGUGGAGGACAAGUCUGGUGCCAGCACCCGCGGUAAUUCCAGCUCCACUAGCGUAUAUUAAAGUUGUUGCAGUUAAAAAGCUCGUAGUUGAACCUCUGUCUGGGGCUAGUUUUGGCUUUGGUCAGGCUAGUUCUAGGCAUCCGCCUACAAGACUUAGAGGGCAUUCAGUUGUUCACUAGGAGGAGUAGGCAUUUUACUUUGAAAAAAUUAGAGUGUUUAAGGCAGGCAAUCGCCCGCAUAUAUUAGCAUGGAAUAAUAGAAUAGGACACUUUUCCAUUUCGUUGGUUAUUGGAAUCGUGUAAUGAUUAAUAGGGACAGUUGUGGGCAUUUGUAUUUAAUUGUCAGAGGUGAAAUUCUUGGAUUUAUUAAAGACAAACUAACGCGAAAGCAUUUGCCAAGGAUGUUUUCAUUAAUCAAGAACGAAAGUUAGGGGAUCAAAGACGAUCAGAUACCGUCCUAGUCUUAACUAUAAACUAUUCCGACUCAAUGUUUGACUGGCUUAUAUAACCAGUUGAGCGUUGUAUGAGAAAUCAAAGUCUUUAGGUUCUGGGGGGAGUAUGGUUGCAAAGCUGAAACUUAAAGGAAUUGACGGAAGAGCACAACCAGGAGUGGAUUCUGCGGCUUAAUUUGACUCAACACGGGGAAACUUACCAGGUUAAAACAAUAGUGGGAUUGACAGUUUGAGAGCGC
rnacentral:rRNA from 1 species